rnacentral:rRNA from 1 species
AUUGAACGCUGGCGGCAUGCCUAACACAUGCAAGUCGAACGGUAACAGGAAUAGCUUGCUAUUUGCUGACGAGUGGCGGACGGGUGAGUAAUGUAUAGGGAUCUGCCUAGUAGUGGGGGACAACGUGUGGAAACGCACGCUAAUACCGCAUAAGCUCUACGGAGGAAAGUGGGGGACCUUUCGGGGCCUCACGCUAUUAGAUGAACCUAUAUUGGAUUAGCUUGUUGGUAAGGUAAUGGCUUACCAAGGCGACGAUCCAUAGCUGGUUUGAGAGAAUGAUCAGCCACACUGGGACUGAGACACGGCCCAGACUCCUACGGGAGGCAGCAGUGGGGAAUAUUGCACAAUGGAGGAAACUCUGAUGCAGCAAUGCCGCGUGUGUGAAGAAGGCCUUAGGGUUGUAAAGCACUUUCAAUAGGGAGGAAAAGUUAGUAGUUAAUAGCUGCUAACCGUGACGUUACCUAUAGAAGAAGACCGCUAACU